GCUUCGGUAGCCUAGUGAUUAGAGCGUCCGCCUCGGAUGCGAUAGGUCAUGGGUUCGAUCCCCGGUCGAGUCA